AAUAUUGGACAAUGGGGGCAACCCUGAUCCAGCCAUGCCGCGGGUGUGAAGAAGGUCUUCGGAUUUUAAAGCACUUUAAGUUAGGAGGAAGAGCUUUGGGCUAAUACCCUGAAGUUUUGACGUUUCCAACAGAAUAAGCACCGGCUAACUCCGUGCCAGCAGCCGCGGUAAUACAGAGGGUGCAAGCGUUAAUCGGAAUUACUGGGGGUUAAGCGCGCGUAGGUGGUUCAGUAAGAUGGGUGUGAAAUCCCCGGGCUUAACCUGGGAACUGCUUUCAUAACUGCUGAGCCAGAGUACGGUAGAGGGUAGUGGAAUUUCCUGUGUAGCGGUGAAAUGCGUAGAUAUAGGAAGGAACACCAGUGGCGAAGGCGACUACCUGGACUGAUACUGACGCUCAGACACGAAAGCGUGGGGAGCAAACA
rnacentral:rRNA from 1 species